rnacentral:rRNA from 1 species
ACCUGACUGCUAUCGGAUUGAUACUAAGCCAUGCGAGUCAUUGUAGCAAUACAAGGCAUACGGCUCAGUAACGCGUAGUCAACCUAACCUAUGGACGGGAAUAACCUCGGGAAACUGAGAAUAAUGCCCGAUAGAACAUUAUGCCUGGAAUGGUUUAUGUUCCAAAUGAUUUAUCGCCGUAGGAUGGGACUGCGGCCUAUCAGUUUGUUGGUGAGGUAAUGGCCCACCAAGACUAUUACAGGUACGGGCUCUGAGAGGAGUAGCCCGGAGAUGGGUACUGAGACACGGACCCAGGCCCUAUGGGGCGCAGCAGGCGAGAAAACUUUGCAAUGUGCGAAAGCACGACAAGGUUAAUCCGAGUGGUUUCUGCUAAAGAAACCUUUUGUCAGUCCUAGAAACACUGAUGAAUAAGGGGUGGGCAAGUUCUGGUGUCAGCCGCCGCGGUAAAACCAGCACCUCAAGUGGUCAGGAUGAUUAUUGGGCCUAAAGCAUCCGUAGCCGGCUCUGUAAGUUUUCGGUUAAAUCUGUACGCUCAACGUACAGGCUGCCGGGAAUACUGCAGAGCUAGGGAGUGGGAGAGGUAGACGGUACUCGGUAGGAAGGGGUAAAAUCCUUUGAUCUAUUGAUGACCACCUGUGGCGAAGGCGGUCUACCAGAACACGUCCGACGGUGAGGGAUGAAAGCUGGGGGAGCAAACCGGAUUAGAUACCCGGGUAGUCCCAGCUGUAAACUAUGCAAACUCAGUGAUGCAUUGGCUUGUGGCCAAUGCAGUGCUGCAGGGAAGCCGUUAAGUUUGCCGCCUGGGAAGUACGUACGCAAGUAUGAAACUUAAAGGAAUUGGCGGGGGAGCACCACAAGGGGUGAAGCCUGCGGUUCAAUUGGAUUCAACGCCGGAA